rnacentral:lncRNA from 1 species
AUUUUAAUUUAAGUUCAAAUUAAAACUUAAGAAUUAUAUAUUUAAUUUUAAAAUUUUAACUCAUAAUUUUAAUCCAAAAAGUUGAAAAAAUAAUUAAUCCGAAUAAAUAUCCAUUUCCGGUCCGGAUUCUUUUUUUUUUCUUCCCCAUCCGGCAUCCUAGGCCGGAUUUGAAAAAUGAGGGUGAUUGGGGGACUCUUAUUCCACUCGGGAGUGAGGAAUCGGAAAUGGGACUCCCACGUACCAAACACCCACAAACGGAUUCCAAAAAAAAACCCAUUCGAUUACCGAGUCCAGGGUUGAAAAAGAAGCGAACCAAACACACCCUAUAGUGUAUUUGCUACUAUUGGAUGGGAUAUAAUAUAUAGUAUAUUAUAUAUAUAAUAUAUAUAAUAUAUAAUAUUAUAUAUAGUGUAUCAUAUAUACUAUAUUAUGGGAUUUUGUUUGGACUUACAUGUAUAAAAAAUUUUUUGUUGCUCUGGUGAGCAAUUUUGAAUUCUUGUGUUAUUCAAUAUAUCUUUUCAUUAAAUAUUAAAUUUAUUAUUAUUUUUUUGGUGAGAAAUAUAAUAUUGUGAUUUGGUUAAUAUUUAAAGAUAAUAUAUUUAUCAAUAAAUUAUAAGUUUUUGGCUUAUAAAUGCAUAUCCAAAUCUUAAUUAUUAAUCAUAACUUUUGUUUACUAUAUUUCUUAGGUCGAGGUAUGUUGAAACGGCCCCUAUCUGUUCUCUCGACAUAAUAAUAUUUUAGUAAGCCAAUUUUAAACCGCCUCUAUAGAUUAAAUUUUAUUAAGAACAUUUUAAUUAUAUUUAUAUUAUUAAUAGAUAGAAUAAAAAAUACUAAACAAAUAAUUAAGCAGAAAUGAUUGACGCGGGUUGAAACCCACAUCUAAGCUUUUCCUGGACGUCGCUCAAACUCCUCUACAUUAUAAAGGGCGCUGGCGGUUCGUUACACCGGCGGUCUCAGAGGGCGGUUGUGAAAACCGUCUCUACGAAAUGUAGAAGCCGGUUUAAACCACCUUUACAACAACUAAAAAUUGCUUAUACGACAGUCUUUUUCUUGUAGUCUCGUCCCUUUAACACUCCAACCUGUCCUUCUUCCCCGCCAUAACCCACCGCCAUAACCACGCAAUAAGCAUGAUCCACAAACAAUGUACUCCAAAGUGAUAAGUUGGCUUUGCAACAACAGCAUCUCUCCAUAGUUCUUUAGAAAAAAAUUAAUUUGAUAAAUAGUUUUAACUUUAAAAUUAUUUAAUAAUUAAAAUUGAAACAAUACUUUUUGCAUCCCUUCAAUUUUAUUAAGUAUUUCCUCUUAUGGCAGAUGAUAUCUCAAUUCUUAUUUGAUCAAAAUUCUAAGUACCUUGUGAAAACACGGUGGAUUGUGAUAUAUCUUGAAAAAUAGCGGGGGAAAGAAAAUUUUGUGCACUCUGAGAAAGGAUUUGAGGAUAUUCUACGGAAAACAUGUAUCAUCAUCAUUUUUCUCAUUUAAAUAUGUAUAUAAAUUUAUUUCUCCAAAUACAAGAUACGAUAGAUACGAUUAUCAAUUUUUGAAUCAAGAUAAUCCACGUUGCCGUUGAGAGAGUUAGGAAAGAAGAAAAUCCAGAAACAGUUAUUCGAUUCUUCUUAUUAAUCUUUCGCACAAAUUCCUCAAACAGCCAACAAACUCAUCCAUGUGCCGGCUACUGGAGCCGUCGUCCGCGAAGAUCUCCAUCAUUUCCUUACUCGCCCCGAACGCCUUCUUUCCCCCAGCAUCACCAUCCUCACCGCCUCCGCACCCCCUCGCGCGUGAACGACCCGUCCUGCUCGUCCGCGGCACCUCCACCCCGACCUUCUUCCCCGCCAUCACCCGCGCGAUCAGCCUUGGUCGGCUAUCAACGGCAGCAUGAUCAGCGGAUGCCCGACCCGGAGCCCCUCGAUGAUACCGAGCUCGCCCCGCAGUGCGUAAAGAAGGCGCCGACCGAUCGAUGUGCCAACACAUUUGAGCUGAGGCACCAGCCGCCCCGGACCGCUCCUCUGCCCCUCACUCGGUCCUCGAAGCCCGCGGUAGUCGCCCGGGCUGCCUGUAAGCCCAUAGGAAGGGCACAUUCGAAAGUCAAGCCGCAGGCUAUUCCUCCACGAGCUCGCUCGCUACCGUCGCCUCGCUCCCGAAAGCUACAUAGGACGACCGUCCCGGGAGACUGAGCGUCGAGCCACUCAAUAACCGCUCUUGCAUCGCCUACAGGCUGGGGAGCCUGAGCUAGGAGCCCGACGAGAAUGACCGGCUUCUUGUAGAUACUCUCGGCGAGAAGCCGCAGCGAGUCGGAUUCUAAUUCGUUGACCGUCCUCACGCGACGAACCUGCAUCCCGCCGACACUGCGCCGAGGCGGUGGGCGGUGGAGACGCCGGACGCGUUUCUUGCAGUGGGCCCUUCACCACCCAUCGGGCCUCGUGGAGGCGAUAGGACGAUCGAGGAGGAGGGGAUCCACUCCGGCGGCCUAGUGUACUCCUCGAUGCUUCUUCGCGGGCCCCCGUCGAGUAAAACCGGACGGCGGCCGAAGAAGGCGAGGGACGAACAGCAGGAAAGGAUGGAGAAGUGGGGCAGGGGAUGCCGAACUCGGCAGCGACCGGAGGCAGCCAGUACUGGCGUAGUCGACGAUGAUCCAAUCCGGCACUUCUUGGAGAAAGUUCUUUCAGGAAAUCGGCGAAAAGGGGUUUUGAGGCCGUCGAGGGCCUUCUUGAGGUACUGUAUCUGAUCCGGCGAGAUGUCGUGGUCGACUCGCGUCGGGGCAAGCCGUCGACGUGGGGGGAGGGGGAAGGAGAUGAAGUCGACGAGAGGGGAUAAGCCGGGGGAUUUGGGGAGCCUCGAGUUGCGCGGGGUGGAGAUGAAGGAGACGCGGUGGCCCCUCUCCGGCAAGGAUUUGGAGAGCUCGAGGAAGGGCAGCAUGUGGCCGAAGGCCGGCCAUGGGAACGCCCACAACGUGGAGAGGGCCGUCUUCCAUGAUUGCACUCGUAAAUCUUAAUUUGCAGUGAUUGCGGAAACAGUUGACAGCACUAGGUGAUGAGUGAUAGAUGAGCUGAAUGAUGCAGCAGCCUCACUGCUUUAGAUUAACACAAAGAGUGCUCCUCAGACUAGCACAAUUUAUUACGUCAAGUACAAAUUUAGCUUCCCUACUUUAAAAAUAUUAAUUAUUAACAUUUAAUAUUUAACUUUAAAUGAUGAUUUUUAACUGAAGUUUAUGGGAUUAUUAUGUACUGAUUUACUCAGGGUUAGUGGGUGGCUGAUGAAAUAACAGUCUACGUGAUGAAAUUGCUCAAGAAAAUAGAUUUAACUGUGAAAAACUAAAUUGUAAACAUUAAAAGCUUGGUAUUUUAAAAGUACCGUAGUUGGAAUCUACCUCUAAAUAUAUUAAAUGCGUUAAGUAUAUAUUUAUUAAAUUUUGGAGGUAAAAAUGUAACAAAAAUCGGUUUGAUCUACUAAUCUAGUUUCUAAAGAUUUUAAUUUUUUUAUUUAACUUUUAAACAUUCAAAAAUUAACUGUACUAUUUAGCUUACUGAAUAUGUAUUAAAUUAUUAAAAUCAAAAUUUAAAAGUUAAAUAGUCCAAUCAAAGUAGACUACUGAUUAAAUAAACUUUAUGCAUUUCGUACUUUGAUUAAAAUUGUAUAGACACCUCCUGAUUUUCACCGGAUUUGAAAUGACCUGAAUAUUUUUUCAUUUGAUUUGCACUCCUCUCCUUAUUAAAAAUUUAAACAAGUCACUCUCUUAGCAACUUUAGCCUUUGUUGUUUUAUUUGAAUUUUUUAAAUGUAAUAUUUUAAAGAAUGAAAGCUCAUUACUUUGUAAGAUGCAAUUUUUGCUUAAAUUUAAAAUAUUUUAGUUAUUGUCAACUUUCUAAUUAUAAGUGUACUAUUUUUGGAACUUUAUAUUUAUUAAUUAUAAUUAAAAUAUAUUUUCAGGAAGAUACGGCAUUAAUAGAGAGGACAAAAGACCAAAUAUCUUAGUCUAUAAGAAAAAAAUAAUUUUUUAAUAUCUUUUUUGUCAUUUUGGAGGAUAUUUUUUGGUUUAAAAUCGUAAGAAAUGGAUGGAAUAGUUAUUGAAUCCAGACGGAGGGGAUUCCGUGAUUGAAUCCUGACAGAGGGACUGUUAAAUGUAAUAACUUAAAACAUUGGGAUGAUAAAAUGUAAGUUUUUAAAAGUUUGAAAAAAAAAUAAAAAAACGGUAUUUAUAAAAAAUAAAAAAAAAAUUAUAUUAUCCUUUAAAAUAUGCUAAAUUCAAAAGGUGCCUACAUAUUUUAAGUAGGGCUGGCAAAUUAGCGACCGGCAUCGCACCGACUCGAAUUAAAUAAGUCGAGUUGAAACAAAAGAAAAAGCUCGAAUUCAUUUCAAGUCGAACUUGAGUAUAUUCGACUAGCUCGAAUUAGGCUCGAAAAGCUUUUAUAUAUAUAUAUAUAUAUAUAGAGGAGAGUAGAGAGAGAGAGAAGAGAGGAGAGAGAGAGAGUAUGGCUACUAUACUAUUAUGAGUAGUGGGCCUUAGUACUCAUAAGUUGUUUUCGAUGAUGUAGCUUCCGAAUCGACGAUCCCCUCCGUUAAAUAUGAUCUAGAGUAUUUAAACACUUCUAGAAAAUAAAUUUCUAAUUUUUCAAAAUCAUAAUAAAGUCCAUCAAGCGGGCAUAAAAGGAGAUGGUCAAAAUCGAACGACUUCCUAAAAAUGGAAUGAUCGGAUCCUUUAAUUUAAGAUCGGAGUUAUUGAUCUUAUCUAGGUAGUUAAUAGAAUUUUCUAUCAAAAAUUCAACCUAUUCCGAUUCUUUUCAAACGUUAAACUAGCAAGUAUUCCAUACCGGCCGUUAAAAUGUCAAUUUUGUGCUUUUGAUCGUAAGGUAAAUGAUUUCGAAAAAUUAUGAAAUUUAAUUUCUUGUAGUUUUAAAUGUCUAGAUAACGUUUAAUGGUGUGGAUCGUCAUUUCGGAAGCUCUAUCAUCGAAAACAACUUAUGAGUACGAGGCAAUCGUACUCAUAAGAGUAUUUAGCCGGACUAUUAUAUAUAUAUAUAUAAUAUAAUUAUAAUAUAGUAUAUAUAUAUAUAGGCUGGGGCUACUAUACUCAUAUGAGUAUAGAGCUCUUUGUACUCAUAAGUUUUCGACCGUUCAGAUGAAAAAAUAUGCGGUUAGGAUGAAAGUGGUUACGGUUAGGUUGAUAGUGGGCCCCCUAGGGUUGAGUGGGUGGUUGGUUGAAUAGUAUAAUCUAACGGGUGAAAAUGAUUAAAGGGUAUAUCUAACGGCUAAAAACUUAUGAGUACAAUAAGCUCUAUACUCAUAAAAGUAUAGUAGCCGGACUCUAUAUAUAUAUAUAUAUAUAUAAAACUUAGGCCGGAAUAUUAUCAAUAGCACCAUACAUUUUGUGCUAUUAAGUUUUCGGUCCUUUGAUUAAAAAAUAUAUGGUUAGGAUGAUGUGGAUCCCCUAGGGUUAAGUUGUUAGUUUAAUAGUAUAAUCUAAUGGGUGAAAAUAGUCAAAGGGUUAAAUCUAACGGCGGAAAACUUGAUAGCACCAAAUGCAUGGUGCUAUUGAUAGUAUCCCAGACGGACUAUAUAUAUAUAUAUAUAUAUAUAUAUAUAUAUAUAUAUAUAUAGCGAGAGAGAGAGAGUCUGGCCACUAUACUCUUAUAAGUAUAUGCCUAUUUAUACUCAUAAGUUUUAAGCCGUUAGAUCUACUUAGGGGUGUAAAACGGGCCGGGCGGCCCGUGGCCCGCCCGGCCCGGCAGGACAGCGGGCCGUGCCAUGGCCCGGCACGGCUACUGUAGCAUCCGUGCCGGGCCGGCCCGACCUGACUCCACGGGUCGUGCUGGGCCGAUCCUCUGCGGCCCGUAGGCCCGGCACGGCACGGCCCGUCUCGGGUCUGGGCCGUGCCGGGCCGAAGGAUCGGCCCGCAGCCCGGCACGGCCCGAAUAAUUGUUGGGUAUUAGCUAGGCCUAGCAUGCUAGCUAGGCCUAGCUAACACCCAUGGUCCGAUUCCCACUGUCCAAGGGUCUGCAGAUCAUACCCUUGGACAGUGGGCCCAACGGCUAUUAUGCCGUUGGGUACUUUUUCCCUUUUUCAAAUUUUUUUUAUUAUUUUUUAAAAAAAAGGUUAAAAAAAUUAAAAAAAUAUAUUUUUUUGAUCAAAAUUAUCAUAAUGCCCUCGCUAACAUUCAAAAAUUUAAAUAUUAGAGAGGGCAUUUUGGUCAAAAGGUAAAAAAUAUUUAUAUAUAUUUUUGAUUUUUUGGAUUUUUAUAUUUUUCUCCAAUGUAAUUAUAUAAUAUGAUUAAUUCAAAUGCCAAUUUUAUUAUUUGUGUUUUAAUUUUUUAAUUUUAUAAAAUUUUUAAAUGAGUUUUAGAAGGUUGGGUAUAAUUGUGUAAAUUAAACUUUAAUAAGCCAAAAAGUUAUAAUUUAAAAUCUUUUUUCUAAAAAAAUAAUUUUUUAAAAAAUACAACCUUUAUGUAAUAUGAAUUCUAAUACAAACUUUAUAUAUUUGUUGUUAAUUUUUUUUUUUUAAAUAUCAAUUCUCUAAAUAAUAAAAAAAGUAUUAAAAAUAUUUUUUUUUCUGAAAAAAAAAACUGAAAAAAAAAACUUGGGAGGGAGAAAAAAAAAAGCCCUGGCGCCCCUGGCAGGCUGGCACGAAGCCCGGCCGCCCGGCACCGGCCCGUGCUGGGCGGGGCCAUGGCCGGGCCGAGCCUACAAUGUUUGCAUGAAACCGCGGCCGGUACGGCACGGCCCGGAUUAAAAACCGGGUCGGGCCGGGCUGACCUUUGGCCCGAUGUGGCCCGGAAAAUGUGGGCCGUGCCAGCCCUGCACGGCCCACAUUACAUCCCUAGAUCUACUCCUUUGACUAUUUUCACCCCUUAGAUCAUAUUAAUCAACUAAUCACCCACUCAAUCAUAGGAGACCGCUAUUAACUAACCGGGGACCGCUAUCAUCCUAACCGCACAUUUUUUCAUCCAACGGUCGAAAACUUAUGAGUACAAAAAGAUGUAUACUCAUAAGAGUAUAAUAACCCUAGCCUAUAUAUAUAUAUAGAGAGAGAGAGAGAGAGAGAGAGAGAGAGAGGCUGGGUGAGUAAUCUGAGUUUAAUUAAAAUUGGGCCAAUAUUGCUGGCCCAUAAAAACAAAUCCAAUAGGCAAACAAAAUAAAAAAAUUUUACUAAAUUUGCACUCUCCCUCUUUUUCUUUCAAAGAGCUCUAAAUCUCCAAUCUCUUCUCUCUCUUUCUUUCUCUAUCUCUCACCCUAAGCGGCCAAGCCUAAAGCCUUUCUAAAUUACCAAGUAACAACAUGCGCCCGUUGUUAUCUACGUUAUCAUUAGUUGUGUACUUGAUAAAAUAUACGGAAUAUUUUUAAGAUAAAAAAUUAUUAUUUAUACAAAAUUUUGAUAUUAGUUAUAUAUGAUUAAAUAGUUUAUUCCAGUAUUUAUCUAUAUAAUUUAUUUAUUUUUUUACCGCAUAAAUGAAAAGAAAUAAUAUGAAGAUUGAAGGCGGAUGAGAGGACAUGCGAGACUGAAAUGAUUAGAUAUUCAACUCAUAACUCAUAAGUUAUUUUUUUCAUAUUAUAAUACCGUAUUUCAUAUAAUUAUUUCGUAUUUUGAUCUGUUAAAUAUAUUUUUAUAUCAAAUUGUAAAUAAUGUUCUAUACAAAUUAAACUAUUAAUUGUACGAUGUUGAGAAUUUCAAGCGGCUCGUUUAGGACUUGAACUCGCUCGACUUGAAAUUUAGCUCGCUCAAGCUCAGCUCGAAUUAAUUUUCAGUCGAGUUCGAGCCUAAAAUUUAGGCUCGAAAUUAAUUUCAAGACGAAUUUGAGCUGAAAUAAGCUCGAGCUCGGCCCUAAUUUUAAGCUUAUAUUUUUGAAUUGUUGAUACAGGGGAAGGGAUUUGUCACUUUCAACCCAACACAUUAAGUAAAUAUAAAAGGUAGCCGCGUGGUAUACCUAAAGCAAUUUUAUAUGAGAUGUCUGUCAGACUGCCAGACUGCCAGACUUAAUGGCCUACCGCUAACAUUUUUCUAUGGCGAUAUUUUACGUUAGCAAGUUUAGCGUGUAUAAUAAAAAAACAAGAGGAACGCGAGUGCCAGCUAAUACCUAAUAAGAGAUAUUUUAGAGAUCAUUUGGUCAAAAUUUAGUUUUAAUUUAGGGUUAAUUUUAUACAGGUUCUCAUAAAUAUGAUAAAUUGCAGAUAUAUUUUUGUAAAGUUUAACUUUAAUAAGUUAUUCCUGCAAAAAUUCUAAUGUAUUUAAAUAUGUUCCUCUGGUCCUAAUGUAUUCAUGUAUAUUCCUCUAGUUAGAAUUCGUUACAGAACUGUUUAAUAUUUUUUUAACGGUAGGUUAGUGAAAUGAUAUUUUACCAUAACAAUUAAAUAUAUCCCUUCAAAAGCCCUAUCAAUUUUUGUCAUUUUCCUCUUUCUCU